AACGAACGCUGGCGGCAUGCCUAACACAUGCAAGUCGAACGAUCCCUUCGGGGAUAGUGGCGCACGGGCGCGUAACGCGUGGGAACCUGCCCUUAGGUUCGGAAUAACUCAGAGAAAUUUGAGCUAAUACCGGAUAAUGUCUUCGGACCAAAGAUUUAUCGCCUUUGGAUGGGCCCGCGUUGGAUUAGCUAGUUGGUGGGGUAAAGGCCUACCAAGGCGACGAUCCAUAGCUGGUCUGAGAGGAUGAUCAGCCACACUGGGACUGAGGCACGGCCCAGACUCCUACGGGAGGCAGCAGUGGGGAAUAUUGGACAAUGGGCGAAAGCCUGAUCCAGCAAUGCCGCGUGAGUGAUGAAGGCCUUAGGGUUGUAAAGCUCUUUUACCCGGGAUGAUAAUGACAGUACCGGGAGAAUAGGCCCCGGCUAACUCCGUG
rnacentral:rRNA from 1 species